UAGCUUCGGGCUAAAACUUGUAGCAAUCAAGUGGUAGACCUCCUUGUCCAUCUCAAUCCUGUGUGCAAAGCUUUCAGGUCUACGUGUAACGCCAGCAUAUUUCUGAGCACAGUCAGAGUGUGUGUGUGUGUUCCACUUCUAAAAUUUAGUUGAACGAGUAGUGGCAGCUUUUGUUGCAUUAUUGGAGGGUGGUUUUUUUUCUUUGGUGGAGGGGGAUUGGAUUAAAGCAGUAAGUAGAACUUUCUUGUAAAGUUGGGAAUGGUGAAGGUGCUUCAUGGGCUUUGUAGACAGUGUAUGUUUUGUUCUUCAUACAGCACAGAAACUCAUAAAAGGGAAAAGUGCCAGGGAGCUUGCAACUAGCUUGAGUGGAGAUGAUGAAGGGUACCCGUGUCAAAGAGAACUUCCUUUGGCACCAAAGAGAAUGGGGAAGUUGCUGCAGCACUGGCAAUCAACUGGCUGUUUUGUUUUUCUUUUUCAGUGAUAUUUUACUUGUUCAGACUUCUGAGAUUUUUCACAAGCCUUUUGGUCAUCUGUAGAUAGACUUUUUAGAACACCUAGGGAGCCUGACCCCCAGAGCACUGAUUUGUUAACCCUGUUGCAAGUAGGGAUCAGAACUGCGGAAGAUAACAGUAGCCUUGCAAUUCAGUGCCACAGGUGGGAUUACUCUGUGCUGCUGUUCUGGGGGUUGUAGAAGAUGCCUGGCUGUUGUAGCUUAAGGCAGUCUUUCUCAUGCAUGGUAUGUGUGCGGUGCUUGUAAAAGAUCAGUUGUGCCUCUCAGAAGUGGAAGAUGGAUCAGUUAAAACUUUGCCCUUUCAGAGCGGAGACUCAGUCCACCCUGAUGCGCAAAUCCAUUAUUUGUCAACUGUACUUUUAUGCCUCUGCAUUGAUAAAAUUCUGCCCUGAGAAUGAGAAUUCCUUUACAUUUAUUUGUGCAGCGAGCAGGGUGUACUGUUAGGAGGGACAGAUCCCUUCCAGUUCCAGCCUCUUCUCUUACAGAUAAAGGUGUCUCUUCUCAGCACAGAUAAAGGUGGAGGAUGACUCCCAUAUGAAAAAGUGGGGGAAGAGACUGGUUCAUUUCUUCUCAUCAGUGGGGAUAAAGUGUGCGAUAGAUGGAGAAAAGAGGAGACUUCUGCCCUCAUCUCUCCAGUCUUCUUGUAAUGUGAACUGUCGACAUUCUGUAGCAGGUUUGAAAAUGUUGUUUAUAGGUAAAUACUAAUUUGCUCACUUGAAGCAUGAGCUGGGGAGCGGGUUUUUUGCAUAUCUUUUGGAGAUGGAUUAAAUCUGUGGUUUGUGUUUAAUAUUUGUGUGAUAUUGUAGUUCUGGCAAUUUUACCAGUCACAAACGGUGUUAGUAGCGUGGCUUUUUCUUACAGUCACUGGAUCUUUCUUGGCUGCCUGCAGAGGAGUGUAAGAUGUAUGUGACAGUGUUUGAAGCAUCCGUGAAAGAUGCAUUUUUACUUUUUCUGUGUUUUGUCUGCUUACAGAAGACUGUUACGAGCCUUUUGUUGAGGAAGUUAAUCUUAAGACUGUACAGACAUGGAAAUAAUGUGUGGUGUUCUUCUGUCUGCUGGAAGUCUUUUAACUGGCACAAGCAGGUUUCCAUCGGCAUCAGAAAUAAGAAAAUCCAGUUUUCUGUCAUAAAAAUACCCUUUGUUUCUGUUUUGAAAUUAUCCUGACUGGUGAGCGGGCAGACUUCGGGCACCUACACGAGUUUAUUUUCACCAGCCUUCUUUAUAGGCAGUGUUGGUUAUAUGUGCUGUAAGAAAGCACCCUAAGUACUCAGAGGUAUGUGCUUAUCAGAAGGAGAACAUCCUCCAAGUAGAAAAAUAAAUACUGCUUUGCCACA